rnacentral:rRNA from 1 species
GGAAUAUUGGACAAUGGGGGAAACCCUGAUCCAGCGACGCCGCGUGAGUGAAGAAGUAUUUCGGUACGUAAAGCUCUAUCAGCAGGGAAGAAAAUGACGGUACCUGACUAAGAAGCACCGGCUAAAUACGUGCCAGCAGCCGCGGUAAUACGUAUGGUGCAAGCGUUAUUCGGAUUUACUGGGUGUAAAGGGAGCGUAGACGGCAUAGCAAGUCUGAAGUGAAAUGCGGGGGCUCAACCCCUGAACUGCUUUGGAAACUGUUAAGCUAGAGUGUCGGAGAGGUUAGUGGAAUUCCUAGUGUAGCGGUGAAAUGCGUAGAUAUUAGGAGGAACACCGGUGGCGAAGGCGGCUAACUGGACGAUAACUGACGUUGAGGCUCGAAAGCGUGGGGAGCAAACA